GGGGAUGACAGGCUUCGACAGCGUGAUUCUAGAGUACGAUCGUUUCUGUUCGGGAUGGCACCGGUUCCCGUACCCACUUGGUGCAAAACCUAAUUGCAAACUCUGCAAUGACUGCAUUCCGUGAUGCAGCUGCCCGCGGGUUCGCCCGCUUGCAGCCCGCACUUGCGGUUGCGUAAGUUCGCCCAGCGCGAACACGCUUCUCCGUGGAUUCUCGCUUAACGGAUGAGGCGCCACUAGCGAGAUGCAUUGCUCCAUAACGCUAAGGCAAUGUGUACCAGCGUUGAUCCUUUCGGUUCUUCUCUCGUUCGCUCUCUCGCGAACCGAAAGUCCAGAGCGAACAUGACAGUAUAAGCACGUGUUCUACACGUUGGACCCGGGUUCAAUUCCCGGCAUCUCCACCA
rnacentral:tmRNA from 1 species